AUCCAGAAGAAGGGAUCCUGUGCAUGAGGAAGGCCUUCAGAUAGAAGAUCAAGAGUUGGCAAGUCUUGAAACAAGACUCCAAGAGUUAAGGGACACUAUAACUGCAGACCAGGUUCCAGAGGGAACAGACAGAAUGGUUUCUGCUUGGGAACAAAGGCAGCUUCUCACAGAUGUGAGAAUGAAAACUUCUAGGCCUAUGCUUUUUGAUGCAAAGCUCUCAGCCGAGAGAGUAUUCAUCCAAAAUUGUCACAGAUGCUGUGCUGUAGAGGCUGUGAUUAGGUGCCUGGACUGUGUACCACUGGACAUGGAGUACCUCUGUGCUACCUGUGACAUGGAAGCCCACAAGAGAAAUGUCUUCCAUGACAGAGAGGCUGUGUUCCAUGGAUUUCUUGAGCCCAUUCCCCCUACAACUGCUGUGGUGGUGAAUGAAAAUGGCCAGCCUCAGUUUUGUGAACAAAUAUGUCAACUGCCUGUUCCUCCACCAAGGUCAAUUUGUGAAUGCACUCAUGACUUCACAAUCACUCCAGGGAAGCAUAUUUCUGUGGUC